rnacentral:rRNA from 1 species
CUACGGGCGGCAGCAGUGAGGAAUUUUGCGCAAUGGGGGAAACCCUGACGCAGCAACGCCGCGUGAGCGAAGAAGGCCUUCGGGUCGUAAAGCUCUGUCAAGUGGGAAAAAAAUUCUUUGAUGAACAGUCAAAGGACUUGAUGGUACCACUGGAGGAAGCACCGGCUAACUCCGUGCCAGCAGCCGCGGUAAUACGGAGGGUGCAAGCGUUGUUCGGAAUUACUGGGCGUAAAGAGCGUGUAGGCGGUUUGACAAGUCAGAUGUGAAAGCCCCGGGCUCAACCCGGGAAGUGCAUUUGAAACUGUUUCACUAGAGUAUGGGAGAGGAGAUUGGAAUUCCUGGUGUAGGGGUGAAAUUCGUAGAUAUCAGGAGGAACACCCGUGGCGAAGGCGAUUCUCUGGACCAAUACUGACGCUGAGACGCGAAAGCGUGGGGAGCAAACAGGAUUAGAUACCGCGUAGUC